rnacentral:tRNA from 1 species
GCUGGAAUAGCUCAGUGGUAGAGCAACUCUCUCGUAAAGAGUAGGUCGUAGGUUCAAAUCCUGUUUCCAGCGCCA